rnacentral:lncRNA from 1 species
GAAAAGUUUCUCCAAUUAUAAAUCCAAAACAUUUACACAACAUCAACUGGUACAUGGAACCCAUCCAAAGAUGAUAUCAAACUGAUAAUAUUUGUAUAAGUACAGUUUUCCAAACUAAAAAUACUUCAAACCAAAAAGAAGGACCCCUAGUCCCUAUACAUCAUCCUAAUCUGAUCAUCCUACCAAAAAGCUAUACACCCUGAGUAAUCUCCACGCGCCCCGUGAGAUCCUCCUAACGUAACAGCAGUCAAGCGUUCCCAUCUCCAUCCCUGACCGUAGGGUACGAACCAGUAGGGCCGUCCUGACUCUCAUCUGAGGGCAAAGCCCAGAUUUCCACAAUAGUGUAAAGGGUCACCAACCAGAAAAUAACAGAUAACACAUAGCAAUUAAGUUUUUGAAUGCUCAAAACAACUUUUUAACUAAGCAUGCACCUUAACAGGAUUUUCAAUGUGCGAAAAGUUCAUACAUUACAUUGCCAAUGAAAAUGAAGGUAAAAUGCAGUUCUCGAUCUCCUAAUUAACACAUGGUAAAACAAAACAUGGAUAGAUUCAUGAGCAAUUAAUCAUACAACUAAAAAUGAGGAUUUUCACUGAGCCAAUCGAUUGGGCAAUCGAUUGGGGUGAAGAUUUUUAAUGAAAACAGAAUCCUGGGCUGAAUUCAAUCGAUUGGUAAAUCGAUUGAUUGGUUCCUGAGCCCCUGGUUUCGAGCCAAUCGAUUUCCUAAUCGAUUUGGUGAGGGAUUCUUAAUGAAAACAGAAUCCUGGGCUGAAUUCAAUCGAUUGGUAAAUCGAUUGAUUGGUUCCUGAGCCCCUGACUUAAGGCCUAAUCGAUUGGGCAAUCGAUUUCUUAACUGAUUCCUUUGAAAAUUGUUUUCGAAAUCGAUUGGCUAAUCGAUUUUGUGAAUUGGCCAAGUCCCUGUUUACCCAUCCAAUCGAUUGGGAAAUCGAUUUCCCUGAUCAGUUUUCCAAAAAUUCAUGAAUUAACCUAAGUCAUUCCUAAUCAAGUUCACCACUUAACACUUAGCAAUUUCUACGCGAUUACUACGACACACAAAGGUUCGAUAACCAUCAUACUCACACACAAUACACAACACAUAGCACUUAACACCUUCAUCUCAGUUAUCACGAUAAAUCAAAAUUCGAAUCACUCAAUCAUAAACUCAAAUCAAACAUGACUCGCGUGCCAGGCACCCUAAUGCAAUGCGUAUAUGCCAAAAUGCAUGGACUCGGAAUUCCAAACCAAAACCCUCCUCGAAGGGCCGUAAAUCAUAAUUGUACCGCCUAUCGCAGGCCAAAGUACCAAUUACCGAGGUGCCACCUAUCACGGGUCAGCACGAUUUACUAAAAUGCGUAAAUCAUAAACGUACCACCUAUCACGGGUCAGUACAGUUUACCGAGGUGUCACCUAUCACGGGUCAACACGAUUUACUAAAAGAAAAAGCGGGAAUCGUAAAUGUACCACCUAUCACGGGUCAGUACAGUUACCAUGGUGUCACCUAUCACGGGUCAACACGAUUUACUAAAAGAAAAAGCGGGAAUCGUAAACGUACCGCCUAUCACAGACCAGUACUGUUUACCUAGGUGCCACCUAUCACGGGUCAGCACAAUUCACCAAAAAUGUAAAUCGUAAAUGUACCACCUAUCACGGGUCAGUACAGUUACCAUGGUGUCACCUAUCACGGGUCAACACGAUUUACUAAAAUGUAAAUCGCAAACGUACAACCUAUCACGGGUCCGUACAGUUUACCAAGGUGUCACCUAUCACGGGUCGACACAAUUUACCAAAUGAAAUGCAUGAGCAUACACAGACUCCAUUCACAACAAUCGUUAAGCAAAUGCAGAUAUUAAAAGAUUCCCCAUUUUUAAUACCCAUUUACUUAAACGACUUUCAAACAACAUUAAUUAAAUAAGUCAUUAAGAGAUUCCCCGUUCUUAAUACCGAUUUAACUUAAUGAUUUUCAAAACAAAACGUUAAGCAAACAGUCAUAUUAAGAGAUUCCCCAUUCUUAAUAUACUUUUGACUUAAACGAUUUUCACACAAGAUAUUCAGUAAACGAGUCAUUAAGAGAUUCCCCAUUCUUAACACUCAUUUACCGGAACGAUUUUCAAAAACGAUCGUUAAGUAACCGGGACAUUAAGAGAUUCCCCAUUCUCAACGCCCAGUUAACUUAAACCUUUUCCUCAAAUGCACAUUAAGUAAACCGAGGUAUUAAAAGAUUCCCCAUUUUUAAUACUCGUUUAACUCUAAUGGUUUUCAAAUUCCACAGAAACAAAUUCAAACAUACUUUCACAUUCAAACCAUAAUUCACAGCAACCACACCAAUUAACAAACAUCAAGUUUCAUUUACCCAUAAUCAUACACAAUGACAUUCAAAUUCAUUUACCACGAAACAUUCAUCACUAUAAACAAAACCUAACUCUUAGGGUUUUACCCGUAACGCACUAGUUUGGUUUUUCCCCAAAUCGACACAUUUAACCCUAACAAUUUCCUUCCCACACAACUACAGAUAAGUCCCUAAUACAAGCUAGAAGUUUGGAAGGAGCCCUUACCUCAACGUUAGCUUUAACGCGCGUUUCCGGUACUGCGAGAAAUUCCGGUAAAAUCUCCGCUCGCAACGCCGCUCCCAAAUUAGUUCACUAGCACCGUAGUGUGGUGGUGAUCAACUUUUCCUUCUAUCUCUUCGAGAAAUGAGGCUUGGAUCAUGAAGAAACGGAGGGGUUUGUGUUUGGAUCUCAAAACCGUUUUUCUUCGUUUUCGAAUCAAAGAGGAAGAAUGGAGUUGCAAAAACCUUGAUCUAAGUCUCACCCAACCUUGGGUUACUAGUUCUGAAGAAAAGAAAACGACGAAAAUGAAAACGGGGAGGAGGAGGAAAAUUGGUCUCACGGUUAACAGAGGAAGAAGACGAGGGAUUUUGUUUUCCUUCCUUUUUCCUUUCUUCUAUUCUCUUUCCUUUCUAUUUCCUUUCUUUUCUUUUCUAUUUCCUUUUCCUUUCCCCUCAAUCAAACAUAUAUACAUAAAUAUAUAUAUAAUUAAUAUAACUUAACAAAUAUCUCAAAAUCUAGAUAUUUAUUAAAUUACCGUUUCACCCGAAACGCCUUAAAUUAACCGUAAAGUAUUUUCCGCAGUUAAAUUUAAUUUAUUUAUCGACGAGAAAUUCUAAUUGGCAUCGAAAUAUCUUUUUGAUUAUAAAACUCCAAAAUAUUAAUAACUUUGGCUUAAAAGCCUUCGAGCCAAAAUCCAAAAUAUACCAAAAAUACAAAAAAUGGUACUUUAAAAUUAUGGGUCUUACAGUAUGACUUGUAACUUCAUAAAAUAUAAUUAUGGAUAUUUAAAUAUGUAUUGUAACGAGUGUUCAUUUAAAAUGUUUGAGUUAUAAAAUAUUUUGGUUUAUAAUAUUUUAUGAUUGGAUUUAAGAUAUUUGAAUAAUUUUUAAAUUUAAUCACAACAAUAUUAUUUAUUUAUCGAUUUUUUUAGUUAAAGCGUGGGUACUGGGUAUGGGUACGGGGACUUAGGUACCCAAAGGGUAAGGGUACGAAUAUUAAAGUUGAUACUCAAUAGGGUACGAGCACGAGUAUGAGUAUUUUUUUAAAUCGCGGGUAUGAGAACGGGUACUAUAGUACCAUACUCAAACCCUACCCAUUGUCAUUUCUAAUUUCAAAUCAAUAAAUGUAGGACUUAUUGAUUUAGUUCAACUUUGACUCAAAUCCAUAAAAGAAUAUCAAACUAAUUUAAUUAAUUUUGGUUAAAUUAUUGCAUGAUCAUUUAGUUUGAUUUUUAUAUUUUUAGAUAAAACUCACAACUCAAAUAGUUAGAAUGUAAGUUAGAAAAUUUAUUUUAGAUAUUUAUAAAUCAUUUAGUAGUUGCUUUUGUAAAUUACUUUUAUAAAUUAUUUCCUCCAAUUUUUUUAUAAUAAAUAUCUAAAUUAUAAUUUGAUCAACAAAAAUUUAUAUAUUUGUUUCUAAGGCUAGUGGCGAAGCUUCAACUAAAAUAUUGGGGUGACUAAAUUUUUAAAAUUUUAAUGGACAAAUAAAAGGUAUAAUAUUGUAUGGUAUACAAGAAUUUUAAGUUGUAAAUUUACAAAUAUAUAUUGAUGAUCAAAUUCUUAACGUUUAUCACAUAGAGGUAGUAAAUCAAACAUUUUUAAUAAUUAACAACUAGGUAAAAUAAAUUUUAGUUCAUAUACACAUAUCAAUCUACAUGAUGCAUUGAUGAUCUAUGUGUACGAAUCUAUAUGAUAUGUCAUUUUGUUAGAUUAAUUCAUGUAAUAAGAAAAAAUGCACAUAUAACAUGUCACCUUCACGUAUUUGACUCAAAUAUACAUUUCGACAAUGAUAAUCCAACAACCAUAAUUAUAUUCAUAAAAACAAUUUCACUCAUAAAACUCAAAAUUACAACAACAUACAUCACAAUAUCUAUAUUAAUUAACAUAUUUAUUAAUAUAUGUUAGGUCUAGUCAAAAUUCAUCACAAUCAACGGACGUGGAGAUGAGAUCAUAGAAAUAGGGAGAGUAUGCUUAAAAAUAAGAUAGGGACAAUAUAAGAGAAGAGAGUGAGAAAUGUUAGUGUAAUUACCUAAUUGAGUUUUGGACAUAAUUAAAGACGAAUUUGUUCCAUCAAAUAGAUCAAAUCUUUUGGUCCAUCCAAUCAUUUGAUCCAUAAAAUAGAUCAAAUAAGUCUAUUUAAUUGAUAAAUUAUAACUCAUAUGUAUCUUAAAAAAUGUAAAAAUAAUAGUAUUUUUUUUAAAAAAAAAACCAUAUGUUACAAGGAAGAUUGUUUAUAAGGUCUUAGUGAUUUUGGAGGUUUUGUUUUAAUAUUAAAAAUUGAGUAUAAUAAAAAAAAAUAUAAUUUUAAUAAUUAAAAAAUUGAAUAAAAUAAAUUUUAGUUUAUAUACACAUAUUAAUCUAUAUGAUGCAUUGAGUAUCUAAACGUACUAAACCAAUCUACAAGAUGCAUGUCAUUUAGUUAGAUUAAUUAAUGUAACAAGAAAAGAUGCAUAGAUAGCAUGUCACCUUCAUAUAUUAGACUCAAACAAACGAUAACGAUAAUCCAACAACCACAAUUCUACUCAUAAAAACUAUUUUACUCAUAAAAUAUACUGAUUAUAAAAUCUAAAUUUACAACAACAUACACCACAAUAUAUAUAUAUAUAUAUAAUAUAUAUAUAUAUAUAUAUAUAUAUAAUAUAUAUAUAUAUAUAUAUAUAAAGUUGUAUGUUACUUAAUUUAAAAAAUAAAAUAAAAUAUUUCCUUGUUAUCUUUAUCACGCGCAUUUAUGAAUUUAUAUACGUGUAAGAGAUUGAAUUUGAAUUUUAUUGAAUAACAAUAAUUACAAUUUUGCUACUUAUACCUCGAUUUUGCUAACCACAUUCUCAAAUUUAAAAAAAUGAAAUACUCAAAUUACUUUUAUUUAUUUAUUAUAUUCUUUAAACUAUAAUCUUUCUUUCUAUAUUCAACCAUAACAUCUCUUUCUAUAUUUAUAUUCUACUUCAUAUUCAUCAUUUUCUCUCACAAUCCUUUAUCAUUUUUUCUCUAUUUUCAACAACUUUAACAUCUUCGAUCAUCUUUAUUGACUCUCAUUUAUAUUAUGUUUGCAUCAUCUUGCUAUUCUUCUUGUUUUUUUACAAUAUUUAGUUAGGGUUAUGUAAUUGAAACUGAUUUUGGUGAAAAUGAAAUUCAUUUUGGUUAUGUAAAUUAAGUCUGCCCAGAAACAUACAUGAAUUUGCGUAUGUGAAUUCAACAUGUCCAAAAACAUACAUGAACUCAUGUUCUUGGGUAAAUUGAGUUCAUGUAGGUCAUAAGCAAACUGAGUUACACAAAUUGAGUUCACGUAUGUUUAUGGACAGACUCAGUUUGCGUAACUAAAAUCAGUUGACAAAAUGAAUUUUAUUUUCACCAAAAUUAGUUUCAAUUACAUAACCAUAACUAAACAUUGUAAAAAAACAAAAAGAACAAAAUGAAGCAAACAUGAUGUAAAUAUGAGCUAUUGAAGAUGUUGAAGUUGUUGAAAAUGAAGGAAGAAGAUAAGGAGAUAUAAGAAAAAAUGAUGAAUAUAAAUGUGAAAUAAAAUAUGAAAAUAGAAAGAUAACAGUUGAACAUGAAGAAAAAAACAGAGAUUAUAGUUUAAAGAAUGUAAUAAAUAAGUAAGAGUAUUUUAAAUAUUUUAUUUUUUUUAAUUUUAAGAGGUGUGGUUAGAAAAAGGGAUGUAAGUUGCAAAAUUGUAAUAAGUAUUGUAUAAAAUUGUAAAAAAAAAGAAAAAAAAAUUGAACACAAUGAAUAAAUAUGUAAAUUGCGAUGUACUUAGAGCGUGUCUCACAACAUAUUGAUGUAUCAUAACUCUUAUAUUAAACAAAAUCUUGAAGUGACACGCAUUAUAGUCGUAUAGACUAAUCCGCACAAGAAUAUUAAAAUAGUUUACCAAAAAAAGAACAGUGCUUCAAUAUAUUUACCGUGAGGUGAACACAUUGGAACUUUCAUCCUCGAAGAAACCAAGCUUGAGAUUGAGUCACAUUCAUUAUAAUCCAAAAGACGAAGAAGAAGAAAUGAACACAAACAGAGCCGAAGCAGAACGUUUACUAGAAAUCGGAGAAGAACUAUUACAAAAACGAGAUCUUAAAGGUUCAAGAGAAUUAGCCAUUCUAGUUCAAGAAACCGAACCUCUUCUAGAAGGUUCCGACCAGAUCCUAGCAAUCGUCGACGUCCUCGAAGCAGCCGAAAAGCCUCUCAAUCUCAACAACCACC